GACGAACGCUGGCGGCGUGCUUAACACAUGCAAGUCGAACGGAAAGGCCCUGCUUUUGUGGGGUGCUCGAGUGGCGAACGGGUGAGUAACACGUGAGUAACCUGCCCUUGACUUUGGGAUAACUUCAGGAAACUGGGGCUAAUACCGGAUAGGAGCUCCUGCUGCAUGGUGGGGGUUGGAAAGUUUCGGCGGUUGGGGAUGGACUCGCGGCUUAUCAGCUUGUUGGUGGGGUAGUGGCUUACCAAGGCUUUGACGGGUAGCCGGCCUGGGAGGGUGACCGGCCACAUUGGGACUGAGAUACGGCGCAGACUCCUACGGGAGGCAGCAGUGGGGAAUAUUGCACAAUGGGCGGAAGCCUGAUGCAGAAACGCCGCGUGCGGGAUGACGGCCUUCGGGUUGUAAACCGCUUUCGCCUGUGACGAAGCGUGAGUGACGGUAAUGGGUAAAGAAGCACCGGCUAACUACGUG
rnacentral:rRNA from 1 species